UACGGGGGGGGCAAGCGUUGUUCGGAAUUACUGGGCGUAAAGGGCUCGUAGGCGGCCAACUAAGUCAGACGUGAAAUCCCUCGGCUUAACCGGGGAACUGCGUCUGAUACUGGAUGGCUUGAAUCCGGGAGAGGGAUGCGGAAUUCCAGGUGUAGCGGUGAAAUGCGUAGAUACCUGGAGGAACACCGGUGGCGAAGGCGGCAUCCUGGACCGGCAUUGACGCUGAGGAGCGAAAGCCAGGGGAGCAAACGGG
rnacentral:rRNA from 1 species